AUUUUCAGGCAUUCCUCGGAUGUUUCAAACCAGUUACUCUCGUUGGACAAGUCGUCAGCGGUGUUGCCCUUCUUCCCGAUGUUGUGGUCAUAUUAAUAAAUGGAAAAGAAUUCCAAUUUCUAAAACAGGUUCAGCGAACAGAGAAAAGGAUAAAACCGGUCGAGGAAGCUCUGAGGCUCGUUUUAGGACAACAUGAUCCUGAAGAUAUAUGCGAAAAAUAUAUCAACGACUUUAUAGGUCGAGGUGUUUUUGCUAAAAAAAAUUGAUCAGAAAUGGAAAAUUCCUUGCGGAAUACCAUGGCGUUUUAUCUAAGGCUGACGACGUGAAGGACAAAAAUACAAACUACACACAUUUCUUUGACUUUAAUGGUGUCAAGUACUGCAUUGAUGCCUCAGAGGAACCAAACCUGUAUCAACCAUCGUUAGGACGGCUAGUAAAUCAUGCAGACACAAAACAACAGAGAAAUUCAAGAAUAACAGUCAUUGGUGUGAAUGAGGUUCCUCAUCUUGUACUGUUUGCGACUAGAUUUGACUUGUAAUGAAAACUGCGUCGAUGAACCAGUUCAGUCUCCUGUAGAACGCAGAGCGUGUGAAUACCAAAGGAAGGUCUGUAGUUCGAUUGGUCAUGAGAACAACAACAGUGGUGUAACAUCGGCUUCCAAACGCAAAGCAGAAUUUCCAGUACAAACAGGCAAAAAGAUCAAAGUCGUUUCUUGGACAGAGGAGCAGUUAGCGGCCAUGCAAAGGUCAUUCGCCAAAAAUCUCCGCUGCUUAAGAGUUCCUAACAAGGAGGAAUGCGAACGAGCAAGGAAAAAUGAGAGCCUGUUGCUUUCUCGUGACUGGAAGAAUAUCAAAUUCCGUGUCAAUCAUGAAAUACAAAGAUUAAAGAAAA